UUUUUUUUUUUUUUUUUUUUGUCUUUUUGUCUUUUUGUCUUUUUUUGUUGUUGUUGUUGCUAUUUCUUGGGCCGCUCCCGCGGCAUAUGGAGGUUCCCAGGCUAGGGGUCGAAUCGGAGCUGUAGCCACCGGCCUAUGCCAGAGCCACAGCACGCGGGAUCCGAGCCACGUCUGCAACCUACACCACAGCUCACGGCAACGCCGGAUCGUUAACCCACUGAGCAAGGGCAGGGACCGAACCCGAAACCUCAUGGUUCCUAGUCGGAUUCGUUAACCACUGCGCCACGACGGGAACUCCCCUCCAUCAAUCUUACACAGUCAACAUGAAGAACACUUUUUUGAAAGUAACUUGGCUUGUUAAUAUAAAGGUAUGACCUGCAUUCCAGUUCCUUUUAGCAACAUAUGAUAUACACUAACUAGUUAACAGUUUAUGAAUCACCAUCAAGUGAGACAGUAAAGAAACAAAAAUCACGUGUUAAUCAUAAAGCGCAUCCACAUGUAUGAGCAGUAAGGGUGGGAAAAUGACAACGAAACCUUAAAGGAAAAACCAGUUGAAUAUGACUAUGUUCUGAGCUUCAGUUUUUGCUCUCUCAAACUAAUAAUAACAAUGAUAAUAAAUGCAUUUAGAAUAAGCAUGUAAGUCAAAUACUAAGGUGAAGAAAAAUUUCUAUCGCUACCAAUGAAAACUUUGGAUACAAACCAUAAAUCAUUUCCCAAGCAAACCCAUUCAUGACUUAAGAUGUUAUUUCACCUAAGGACAAGUACAGCUGGUGUCUCCCUCUUCUCCAGUGAGAUUUCUUAGUCAGAAAUAUUCGGAGGAAACAGAGAUCCAAAACACAACAGGAAGAAAACAUCAUCGUUUCCUUCCAAACCAGUGAUCUAAAUCAGAAAACAACAUUCACAGAACUGAAGGGAUCUACAUUUGCCAUCAUUUCCAAGAAGAAAACAAAAGUAUCCAUUGUGCUCUCAUCUUUCGAGUAAAAAGUGUACAUUUUUCUAAAGAGUCAAGACAGAGAUAAGCAAGCCGGAGAGUAAAGGGUCAGGAGAAUUCAGACCACAAUUCCUUACAGGUUUCAUUUUUUGCUGCAGUUCUGUCUAUGCAAACAGAGGUCAAAACUGAUCAACUUCAGCUAACUCUGAGCACCAAGAAGAGGUAAUUUACAAAGGGAAAUCUUGGUAUGUGCUAGAAUAACGCCACUGACAAAAAAGUAUACAUCAAAAGCAAACUCUAUGCCAAAAGUAGAUGUUACAUCUUCAUAUAAUAAAAGCAGACAGUAGUGUCUUUGUUCUUACCUCUAAUUGUCCUCAAGGUUCAUGAAAAACAAGCCAUCACUCCUGCCGGAAAGCGUCUGCUGGGCUAGCGCAGAAGUCACACAGCUGGAAAUAUACCUCCAGGACCCCUGAGCUCCUGGCCUUGUCCUCCUUCCCCCUGUUGAAGCACUGCUGUUCACACCUCUGCUGAUCGUUGGGGACCACUAGCAAGUUUUAUCACAACUGAGGGAAAAGGACCCGGGCUUGCUACUUAUACCGAUGAUUCACUCCAAUGACAGCUAGAAAGAAAUGCUUGUUGGUGCAAAAGGAGUUGACUGAACUCCACCCCUACGGUAAGGAUUAAGUAACUCCACCCAGCUUAGCGAUUAUCUUAAACAGCCUCACAGUGCCCUAACGUGAAGUUACCUGCAGCAUUGCUUCUCCACAGGGCAGCUCUUGUUCGUAAGGAGAAGAACCCAGGGCUCACCAAACAGGAUGGGCAAUAACCAGUGUGUACCACGUGGUUUUGUGAAUAACUGUAACCUGGGCUGGGCUGUUUGCUUAUUUAAAGCUAUAUCUGAGUCUUCCGGGCAAAUAGGCAGUGGAGGUCUGUCCUUCACCUUUUACAAUGAACUUAGCUUCUCUCCAGUUCCUGUGUGGCAGGCUGACAGCACCAAGUGCGGGCCCCCUCAAGAGUUGAAAGUCUUCAAAGGAUAGAAUAAAAGUAACUAUGAUACAAACUACACCACCAAAGAGAACUGACAAGUUGGGGGGAUUUGGUGCCACCGGAGAGGCCACUCUACAAACCCACCAUCUCUGGGGUGCAAGCCCAUUUUUCUUGGAUAUAGGUCAAGGACACCAAAUGAGGUCAGCAGGGCUCACGUGGAUACUCUAUAGCACCAUGUCCUGUUUAAGGGGUGCAGUUCACCCACCUGUCCAACCUUCACUGAGUUCCCAAGGCCAUUGAAGACCCGUCCUCUUUCUUUGACUUGUGACCAACACCAAGUUACACCUCUUUGCUCUUGCAAAGUCAACCCCCACUUGACAACCCCAGCAGGUGUGCCUGCAACAGGAAGUGCUCCCACUUGUAGCCGAGAGCUAACCUUCCACAUUAACUCAAGUGUUCCCGGCACGUCAGCUGAGAAACUGUAAACUAGACUUUCAAGUUCCCACAGGUGCUAGAAGCCUGGGAUUCCCAGAGGUGUUGGACAACAAAACAGGUCCCCAGGGGAGCCAGUGACCUCUAGUGGCUGGGAGGAUCACUGACGGCUUGCCAGAUAAAGUCCCCACUGGAUUACCACCAGGAACCCUGUCCCCAAAGGCACCCUCAUACAGGCAGGCUGACAGGUCCACCCACUUUCUGUAGACUUUUCGAACAACAAAAGGAAUACCCUGAGGUUUUAGUACUGAGCAAGUGAGGACACACAAGUGCUAAACAGUAUAAUUUAAGAGCAGGAACUCCACUUUCCUUGACUGUAUCUGAAAUUAUAAAAUUAAGCUGUUUUACAUUAACACAAUGACUGGAAGCUUAAAAAAAAAAGAACCAAAAAAUACUUACUAUAAGAAAAUAUACCUAAAUAAGUGGAAUAAGUUAUUUAACAAAUUUGCCUGUUGCCUUAAAGAUAAAAGGCACCAUGAAAUAUUACCCAACUAUUAUGGGCUCAAUCAUUUCUCUCCACCAAUCUUAUAUUGAAGUCCCAACCCUAGUAGCUCAGAAUGUGAUGAUGUUGGGAGACAGAGGCUUUAAAGAGAUAACUGAGCUAAAAUGAGGUCUUUAGCAUGGGCCCUGAUCCAGUGUGACUGAUAUCCUUUAAGAGAAAAUUCAAACAGACAGGUAUGUCAGAAAGACAAGGAACAGGGACAAGGAGGAGACAAGAUGGCCUUCUGCUAGCCAAGGAGACAGACCUCAGAGGAAACCAGCCCUGCUGACACCUUGAUCUCAGCCUUUCAGCCUCCAGAACUGUGAAACAAUGCAUUUCUAUUGUUUAAGCUGCUCAGUCUCUGGCACUUUGUUAUGGCAGCCCAAGCAAACUUAUAUAUUAAUAAUGAUUGCAUUCCAAGUAUUAAUGCCAACAAUGAAGACAGAAUUCAGAUUUCUAAUUAAUAACCAUUCUCCCACAGCCAACACUUCCUUUUGGUAUUUUAUUUCCUCCCGGUCCAUUGAGGCUCUGCCUUGAAAAAUGCUUAGAAAAACUUAUUCUGGAAGAAAGUGGGAGUGGGGGGGCAGAGACCACAAAUGACCUUUCCAACUCCACUUUCGGCACCUCCACUGACAGUCAAGCUUACUGACCAAGUAGUCUCCAUUUGCAUCUUACUCCUCCAAGUGAAAAUCAGCUUCUGUCCAACCUCCACGAAAAAUGCAGCCAAACCUAGCGAAUAAGAACCUUAGCACCAAUUUAAGAAAUGUUAACAAUGGAGGAAAUACAAUGGAGGAAAUGUUAGAAGUCUUUUUAGUUCGAGUCCCUCUGUCUAGAGAAGGAAAUGAGGACCCAACCAGAGCAGCAGCAGGAUCUUGGAAUAAACAGUGAAGUGGAUUCAACCCAGACACACAGUCCUAAUCCAGUGUUACUAGCUCUGCUCACUACACUAUUAACUGAGGAUAUCCUGAAGCAAUCAAAUCUCUCCAAUCCCACGAAGAAAAAUUGCUGCUCCAUGGAGCAGCUGUAAUGAAGAGAGAUGAGGAUGCAGACACUGGAUGACAAAUGGAGUAUGGCCCAGGUCUCAGACUAGGUCUACAGGCUUUCUUAACCUGGGCUCCACUGACAUCUGGGGCCAGGUAAUUCUCCAUCGCGGGAAGAUGUUCAGUGCAUUUUAGGAUGUUUAAACAGCAUUGCUGGCCUCUACCCACUAGACAGAAGCUCUCCCCAGGUAUGACAGCUAAGAAUAUCUCCAGACAUGGCUGUGUCCCCUGGGAGGCAAACUCGUCCCCAGCUGAGAACCACUGGUUUAAAAGGACGAAACUCUGGGCAGAGUGAAAGAGAUGGUGGUGAGGGGGUGUGCACCUGAGAUCAACCAGAAGAAAGUGCUCUGUAGAUAUGUCAGGAGCAAGGCAGAAGGAAGGGCAAUUUGUUGCAUUUCCCCAACUGAGGGUUGUUUUUAUGUGUUUUAUUAUUUAUUUUUAUUUAUUUAUUUUAUUUAUUAUUUAUUUUUUUCCAAUGAAGUAGAAGACAGGGUCACAGGCUGAAUGUGAGGGAAUGAGAGACUGAGUCAGGAACACCUCUGGGAUUUACCAGAGAGCAGAAAGGGAGCAGGGCUGGGCUGUGUCAAGGAUAUCUGUGAUAGUACCAUAAACAGAGUGGCCCCAGCAGGCCCCAAACUGCAGGCUCCCCUGCAGGUUGGAGAACCCAGGAAAAAGGUAUGGAGACUAGUUGGAGGAAUAUAACUAGAACUCCUAAAGCAGUAGGGACACAGGGUGCCCCAGAUGUGCUACAGUUUCCAAGGUCAUUGUGGUGAGCCAUGGCACGGUAACCUAGAGUCAACUGAAGACAAGGAAACCCACUCGAAACCUGUUGCAAUAGAACAAAUAAAAGGUGAAAAAAUCCUACAGAAGAACUAUAACUGAGAAGGAAAUAAAGAACCUAUAGACAAUCCAGAGGGCUAAAUACACUCAUCCACUUUGAUUUAAUUCCCAUCCAAGGAAAUCUUUCCUAAGGAAAUAGGGGUAUAAAUUGAGUGUUACAGACCAAGAGAUUCCUUACCAAAACCAAAAAUGAAACAAAAAAAUCCUUAAAGCAGUCUUAAUGUCCAACCACAGAGAAAAUAAAUUACAGCUAUCUACAUGCUCGUGUACCCAAGGAAUAUUUUAAAACCUGGCAAAACAUUCACAAUAUAAUGUUUUAAAAUGUAAGCUAUAAAACUGAAUCUGACAUAGCCCCAUUUAGAAAUUGUACAUAUUUACAGGUUUACAUUUGUAAAGCAUCUGCAUCGGUCUCUAUCAAGGUAACAGCAGUCAUUAUGAGAUUUCCAAGGUAAAAAAAAAAAAAAAUCAGAAAAUGGGUUUACCAUCUUGGAGAAGGUGGCAGAACAGAAGGAGUGGCCACAGAGGAAAGGACAGGAACCAGGAGCCAAGAGGUAAGGGCCAAGGGCUACAGGCCUCUCUGGAUUUGAUGAACAGAAGUUGCUGGUGUCUUAAGACUGAUACAUGAGUUCUAGAGCACUGGCAGCACAUAGGCAGCAAAGGGAGUGAAAGGGACAAGAGCUUUCCAUGGAGUUCCCCACAGUGCCCACUGACAAGGAGAGGCCAUGGAAGGCAUGCCUGUGAAUGAUGAGGCAUAGGUCUACCAGAAGUCUGCCAAGAGGGAGGGCUGCUUCCAUUCCUUGGCACUUGUUUUUCUAAACUUAAAAUUCAAAAUAAUGUGAAAACCUCAUGGCAGUUCUUUAAUUUUAUAUUGCUUACACAUUAAAUGGCCACCUGUGUAUAGCUCCUAGCACUUCUGAUUCAGCACCUGAUUCAGCACCUGAAAAUGUACUCAAUACUGCUUACUACACUUAGAAAACCAGGAUGGGUUAUAAGAUGGGAUUUUAUGAAACCCCACAAAGGGCCACCUUGGAUGAGUAUGUUCGAAUGGAAAAGAGAGGAAAUGCAUAAAAGGUAGUUAAAUUUUUAAGCUCACAUAAGCAAAAGGAAUUUAAAAAGGAUGAAGGCUGACUUCCUGCAAAACAAAGUCUUAUUAAGAACUGAAAAUCUGAACUUCAGAGCAGUAUUUCAAAGACUUUUCAGUGUUGGUAUUUUGUUUGCUUUUGGUUUUCAUCUUAGGAGGAUUUGUCAAUUACUGAGAUCCUCCCUAGAGAUUUUUUUCCCUUCAAAGCCACUGUAGGAGUUCCCAUUGUAGCUCAGCAGUAAUGAAUCCGACUAGUAUCCAUGAGGAUGGAUCCCUGGCGCCACUCAGUGGGUUAAGGAUCCAGCAUUGCCAUGAGUUGUUGUGUAAGUCACAGAUACAGCUUGGAUCCUGAUUUGACCCCUAGCUGGGAAACUUCCAUAUGCUGUGGGUGCAGCCCUAAAAACACCAGAAAAAAAGCCAUUUUAAAAAUCAUUCUAGGAGUUCCCGUUGUGGCGCAGUGGUUAAUGAGUCUGACUAGGAACCAUGGGGUUGCGGGUUUGAUCUCUGGCCUCGCUCAGUGGGUUAAGGAUCCGGUGUUGCCGUGAGCUGUGGUGUAGGUCGCAGACGUGGCUCGGAUCCCGUGUUGCUGUGGCUCUGGUGUAGGCCGGCAGCUACAGCUCCGAUUAGACCCCUAGCCUGGGACUCUCCAUAUGCCGCAGGAAGCAGCCCUAGAAAAGGCAAAAG
rnacentral:lncRNA from 1 species